rnacentral:rRNA from 1 species
GUGAAGGCGCGGCAAACGGCUCAGUAACACGUGGCUAACCUACCCUUGGGACGGAGACACUCCCGGGAAACUGGGGCUAAUCCCCGAUAGGUAAGGACCCCUGGAAUGGACCCUUGCUGAAAAGACGUUGAGUCCAUGCUAUUCAGCGUCGCCUAAGGAUGGGGCCGCGGCCGAUCAGGUUGUUGGCGAGGCAAUGGCUCACCAAGCCUAUAACCGGUACGGGCCGUGAGAGCGGAAGCCCGGAGAUGGGAACUGAGACAAGGUCCCAGGCCCUACGGGGCGCAGCAGUUGCGAAAACUCCGCAAUGCGCGAAAGCGUGACGGGGCUACCCCGAGUGCCGCCCGUUGAGGGCGGCUUUUCCACGGUGUAAGGAGCCGUGGGAAUAAGGAGAGGGCAAGCCUGGUGUCAGCCGCCGCGGUAAUACCAGCUCUCCGAGUGGUGAGGACAAUUAUUGGGCUUAAAGCGUUCGUAGCCGGCUUAACAAGUCUUCCGUUAAAUCCAACGAUUUAAUCGUUGGUCUGCGGGAGAUACUGUUGGGCUAGGAGGCGGGAGAAGCCGA